ensembl:lncRNA
CGACGUUAUUCGAUGAUUUAACGUUCAGUCCCCCGCCCACGUCUCCAGGCUGCCUUACACUGACAUUUGACGUUCUUCCAUAUAGAGCAUAUCUUUUAAAUCGUCAUAACAAACUGGUCCUAGUUUCAGUAUCAGUAGGCUACUCCUCCUCUGCAUUGGUUCUGUUGACUUGCAUACUUUUCUUAAUUUUCUUACUUGCAUUACACCUAGGCCUAUCAUCACAUUUACGGCUUAUUAGUUUUUCUCAUUGCUGCAUCUUAUCUGUUAUUGUCAAUAGAACAUCUACCAUUAUUUCUAUGCAGGCAGUAGUCAAAAUUAGAUAACAUAAGAUUAUUGCGUAAGUGUGUGUGUGUGUGUGUGUGUGUGUGUGUGUGUGUGUGUGUGUGUGUGUGUGUGUGUGUGUGUGUGUGUGUGUGUGUGUGUGUGUGUGUGUGUGUGUGUGUGUGUGUGCGUGCGUGUUUAUAUUCCGGACAUUUCUUUCUAUUAAUGUCUACUCUGAUUGUUUAUUGACGUGUGCGCGCGUGUGUCUCUGUGAUUGUGUGUUUGCAUCUGUCUUUUGUUUUCACAGACUGCAUCUCGGAUUAAUUUCCGGUGUGCUGACAAUAAACCCGAGCUGACGGUAUCUCUUGCCUUAUCGGCUGAGCUGUUUUCCAGUGUCUGAACGUCAAUAUUAUGUGUUGUAUCAGUUGUAGGCGAGCUUCCAGUGACGCUGAGACGAGCAGCACAGUAGCUGUUGUUUAAUCCCCUGUAAACUGAAAUCAGGAUCCAAUGCUCGAUGCACAAUGGUCUGUGAAUCAAUCCAAUUAGCGGAUCCCAAGGACCACAUGGCCACUUUGCCCAUGCCAAAUAAAGCUGUUGUGAUGAAUUAAUUGCAUUGCAUUAAAGUCUUCUGAAGAUCAGCAUCCAAUAUGCUCCACACUCCUCCAAGAAUCCAAGAAAUGCACUGUAUUUACACAUGAGGCCUUAAUCUUUUAUUAUCCAGGCUUUCUUUUUCAUUGCAUCCCCCAUUCUUACUUUGGGAUAAUGUUAUUGCUGUCCACCAGGAAGUGAAUUCACUGCUGUCACUGGAAUGAGGGUUCGCUCUGCAACUAUGUUUCUUUUAACUUGCCAUUUUGUGGGUUUUCGGGUUAGGGGGGUGACUUCUUAUGCAAGGCUGUAAAGUGGCUUUUAGACUGCAAGUGUGACACAGGGGCGGGCUGUAAGAAUUGGUCGUCUGUGUGUUUUCCAGUAAGGCUUUAUGAGCUUGGUUGCUUAGCCGAAUGAGGAGAUGUCCUUCAUUAAGAUCCCGUGGUGUAACACCAGUCAACAGAGAAUAGGUUGCGUGUGGAGUGGUGUAACACCAGUCAACAGAGAACAGGUCGCGUGUGGAGUGGUGUAACACCAGUCAACAGAGAAUAGGUCGCGUGUGGAGUGGUGUAACACCAGUCAACAGAAAAUAGGUCGCGUGUGGAGUGGUGUAACACCAGUCAACAGAGAACAGGUCGCGUGUGGAGUGGUGUAACACCAGUCAACAGAGAACAGGUCGCGUGUGGAGUGGUGUAACACCAGUCAACAGAGAACAGGUCGCGUGUGGAGUGGUGUAACACCAGUCAACAGAGAAUAGGUCGCGUGUGGAGUGGUGUAACACCAGUCAACAGAGAAUAGGUCGAGUGUGGAGGGAGCAACAGAGAGGGCCUGGUAACUUCUGUCUGAAUGUAAUACAUUUAUAAUACCUUGUUACUUGACACAAAACCUUUUUUGCGUACCUCGCAGUUUAUAGCCUAAUUUCACGUCAGAAGGAAGAUUCAGGAGACAUAUUACCGUACAUAUAUGAUGUCACCAAAGCGAUCCUCCCACCUGGUUAUAUUGAUUUAACUCUCAGUGGAUGGAUUGUCCUGCAUGGAGACUGAGUACCGGAGUGUGAGAGCGUGUUUGUGAGUGGGCAGCGUUCAGACCGCGACUCAGAGAGAUGGCUAAGGGUUAGCCUGAAUAGUGAAUCAAUUCAUUGAUAACCUUUUUUUUUCUCUCACUCUGUGCCUCAGCAACUAGUUACAGUUAAAGCGUCUCAAAUGGGUCUCAUUUUAUAGCUUUCAUUAUUUGGCCUUUCUUUCCAUUCAUUACAAAAUGAAUACUUUGUGCAUCAGACAUAAGGGAGUAUUUCUACUCACUAAUAUUACUUCUACCAUCAUUUAAGAAAUGUUGUAAACACAUGACCAUCUAUACAGGAACAAUUAUGAGCGGUCAAUAAAGAUAGUUCUUGGCUGCAGCCUGAAUAUGUUAUGCAUGUUUCUCCAGACCUUCGUCAUAAGUCAGAAUUUGUUCAAGCGCACGACCAUGGGUUGUGUCUCUGGGGUUAAGUGCAACGACUUGUUAGAGAAUCAAUAGAUUCAGCAGAAGGGAGGGGGACCAAGGCUUU